AACUGCGAAUGGCUCAUUAAAUCAGUUAUAGUUUAUUUGAUAGUACCUUACUACUUGGAUAACCGUGCUAAAAAUCCAGACUUCUGGAAGGGAUGUAUUUAUUAGAUAAAAACCAACAGUUGGGCAACCAACUAAACAUUGGUGAUUCAUGAUAACUUUUCGAAUCGUAUGGCCUCGUGCCGACGAUGAAUCAUUCAAAUUUCUGCCCUACCAACUUUCGAUGGUAGGAUAGAGGCCUACCAUGGUGGUAACGGGUAACGGGGAAUUAGGGUUCGAUUCCGGAGAGGGAGCCUGAGAAAUGGCUACAAUACGGGGCUCUUUUGGGUCUCGUAAUUGGAAUGAGUACAAUUUAAAUCCCUUAACGAGGAACAAUUGGAGGGCAAGUCCGGUGCCAGCAGCCGCGGUAAUUCCAGCUCCAAUAGCGUAUAUUAAAGUUGUUGCAGUUAAAAAGCUCAUAGUUGAAUUUCGGGAUUGACACAUCGGUCGUGCCUUAAGGGGUAUGAACUGGUGUAGUCAAUUUCUCACCUUCUGGAGAACCGUGAUGUCCUUAAUUGGGUGCCGCGAGGAACCAGGACCUUUACUUUGAAAAAAUUAGAGUGUUUAAAGCAGGCAUUUUUGCUUGAAUACAUUAGCAUGGAAUAAUAAAAUAGGACGGCAUGAUUCUAUUUUGUUGGUUUCUAGGAUCACCGUAAUGAUUAAUAGGGAUAGUUGGGGGCAUUAGUAUUCAAUUGUCAGAGGUGAAAUUUUUGGAUUUAUUGAAGACUAACUACUGCGAAAGCAUUUGCCAAGGAUGUUUUCAUUAAUCAAGAACGAAAGUUAGGGGAUCGAAGACGAUCAGAUACCGUCGUAGUCUUAACCAUAAACUAUGCCGACUAGGAAUCCCUAGUAAGCGUAAGUCAUCAGCUUGCGUUGAUUACGUCCCUGCCCUUUGUACACACCCCCGUCGCUACUACCGAUUGAAUGGCUUAGUGAGGUCUUCGGAUCAGAGAUUGAUGAGUAGCAAUAUUUGUCGGUUACUGAAAAGUUGA
rnacentral:rRNA from 1 species